GAUGAACGCUGGCGGCGUGCUUAACACAUGCAAGUCGAACGGAGUUUCUUGGAUAGAGGUUUCGGCCAAUUGAAAAGAAACUUAGUGGCGGACGGGUGAGUAACGCGUGAGGAAUCUGCCUUGGAGUGGGGAAUAACACAGUGAAAAUUGUGCUAAUACCGCAUAAUGCAAUUGAGUCGCAUGGCUCUGAUUGCCAAAGAUUUAUCGCUCUGAGAUGACCUCGCGUCUGAUUAGCUAGUUGGUAGGGUAACGGCCUACCAAGGCGACGAUCAGUAGCCGGACUGAGAGGUUGGCCGGCCACAUUGGGACUGAGACACGGCCCAGACUCCUACGGGAGGCAGCAGUGGGGAAUAUUGGGCAAUGGGCGCAAGCCUGACCCAGCAACGCCGCGUGAAGGAAGAAGGCUUUCGGGUUGUAAACUUCUUUGUCAGGGACGAACACAAUGACGGUACCUGACGAAUAAGCCACGGCUAAC
rnacentral:rRNA from 1 species